AACGAACGCUGGCGGCAUGCCUAACACAUGCAAGUCGAACGAGACCUUCGGGUCUAGUGGCGCACGGGUGCGUAACGCGUGGGAACCUGCCCUUAGGUUCGGAAUAACUCCCCGAAAGGGGUGCUAAUACCGGAUAAUGUCUUCGGACCAAAGAUUUAUCGCCUUUGGAUGGGCCCGCGUUGGAUUAGCUAGUUGGUAGGGUAAAAGCCUACCAAGGCGACGAUCCAUAGCUGGUCUGAGAGGAUGAUCAGCCACACUGGGACUGAGACACGGCCCAGAUUCCUACGGGGGGAGGAAGUGGGAAAUAUUGGAAAAGGGGCGAAAGCCUGACCAAGAAAGGCCGGGGGAGGGAAGAGGGCUUUGGGGUUGAAAAGCUUUUUUCCCCGGGAGAAAAAUGACAGUCCCGGGAGAAAAAGCCCGGGCAAACCCGGU
rnacentral:rRNA from 1 species